rnacentral:rRNA from 1 species
CCUACGGGAGACAGCAGUGGGGAAGAAUGGGCAAUGGGCGCAAGCCUGACCCAGCAACGCUGCGUGAAGGAAGAAGGCUUUCGGGUUGUAUACUUCUUUUCUGAGGGACGACGAAAGUGACUGUACCUCCGGAAUAAGCCGUGCCCAACUACGUGCCAGCAGCCGCGGCAAUACGUAGGUGGCAAGCGUUAUCCGGCUUUAGUGGGGUUAAAGGGCGUGGUGGCGGGAAAGCAAGGCAGAUGUGAAAACUAAGGGCUCAAACCUGGGCCUGCCUUUGAAACUGUUUUUCUUGAGUGCUGGAGAGGCAAGCGGAAUUCGGUGUGUAGCGGUGAAAUGCGUAGAUAUACGGAAGAACACCAGUGGCGAAGGCAGAUUGCUGGACAGUAACUGACGCUGAGGCGCGAAAGCGUGGGGAGCGAACAGGAUUAGAUACCCUGGUAGUC